GACGAACGCUGGCGGCGUGCUUAACACAUGCAAGUCGAGCGAGGACCAGCCCUUCGGGGCUGGGGACAGCGGCGAACGGGUGAGUAACACGUGGGUAAUCUGCCCUCGGCACCGGGAUAGCCCGGGGAAACCCGGAUUAAUACCGGAUGGCCUUUCGGGCCCUCGGGCUUGAGAGAAAAGGUAGCUUUGGCCUCUGGCCGAGGAUGAGCCCGCGGCCGAUUAGCUUGUUGGUGAGGUAAUGGCCCACCAAGGCGACGAUCGGUAGCUGGUCUGAGAGGACGAUCAGCCACACUGGGACUGAGACACGGGCCCAGACUCCUACGGGAGGGCAGCAGUGGGGAAUCUUGCGCAAUGGGCGAAAGCCUGACGCAGCGACGCCGUGUGCGGGAAGAAGGCCU
rnacentral:rRNA from 1 species